AACGAACGCUGGCGGCAGGCUUAACACAUGCAAGUCGAACGCUCACUUCGGUGAGAGUGGCAGACGGGUGAGUAACGCGUGGGAAUAUACCUAUCAGUACGGAACAACAGUUGGAAACGACUGCUAAUACCGUAUACGCCCUUCGGGGGAAAGAUUCAUCGCUGAUAGAUUAGCCCGCGUUAGAUUAGCUAGUUGGUGGGGUAAAGGC
rnacentral:rRNA from 1 species